rnacentral:rRNA from 1 species
GAUCCUGGCUCAGGAUGAACGCUAGCUACAGGCUUAACACAUGCAAGUCGGGGGGCAGCAUGAACUUAGCUUGCUAAGUUUGAUGGCGACCGGCGCACGGGUGAGUAACACGUAUCCAACCUUCCGUUUACUCAGGGAUAGCCUUUCGAAAGAAAGAUUAAAUACCUGAUAGUAUGGUGAGAUUGCAUGAUAGCACCAUUAAAGAUUUAUUGGUAAACGAUGGGGAUGCGUUCCAUUAGGUAG